rnacentral:piRNA from 1 species
UAUCUUGUCACCUGUAGAUAUUGAUUCCUG